rnacentral:tmRNA from 1 species
GGGGCUGAUUCUGGAUUCGACGGGAUUUGCGAAACCCAAGGUGCAUGCCGAGGGGCGGUUGGCCUCGUAAAAAGCCGCAAAAAAAUAGUCGCAAACGACGAAAACUACGCUUUAGCAGCUUAAUAACCUGCUUAGAGCCCUCUCUCCCUAGCCUCCGCUCUUAGGACGGGGAUCAAGAGAGGUCAAACCCAAAAGAGAUCGCGUGGAAGCCCUGCCUGGGGUUGAAGCGUUAAAACUUAAUCAGGCUAGUUUGUUAGUGGCGUGUCCGUCCGCAGCUGGCAAGCGAAUGUAAAGACUGACUAAGCAUGUAGUACCGAGGACGUAGGAAUUUCGGACGCGGGUUCAACUCCCGCCAGCUCCACCA